rnacentral:rRNA from 1 species
UACGUAGGUGGCAAGCGUUGUCCGGAUUUACUGGGUGUAAAGGGUGCGUAGGUGGCAUGGCAAGUCAGAAGUGAAAGGCCGGGGCUCAACCCCGGGACUGCUUUUGAAACUGUCGGACUUGAGUGCAGGAGGGGCAACUGGAAUUUCUAGUGUAGCGGUGGAAUGCGUAGAUAUCAGGAGGAACACCAGUGGCGAAGGCGGCCUGCUGGACGACAACUGACGCUGAGGCGCGAAAGCGUGGGGAGCAA